rnacentral:rRNA from 1 species
AUUGAACGCUGGCGGCAGGCCUAACACAUGCAAGUCGAACGGUAACAGGAAGCAGCUUGCUGCUUUGCUGACGAGUGGCGGACGGGUGAGUAAUGUCUGGGAAACUGCCUGAUGGAGGGGGAUAACUACUGGAAACGGUAGCUAAUACCGCAUAACGUCGCAAGACCAAAGAGGGGGACCUUAGGGCCUCUUGCCAUCGGAUGUGCCCAGAUGGGAGUAGCUAGUAGGUGGGGUAACGGCUCACCUAGGCGACGAUCCCUAGCUGGUCUGAGAGGAUGACCAGCCACACUGGAACUGAGACACGGUCCAGACUCCUACGGGAGGCAGCAGUGGGGAAUAUUGCACAAUGGGCGCAAGCCUGAUGCAGCCAUGCCGCGUGUAUGAAGAAGGCCUUCGGGUUGUAAAGUACUUUCAGCGGGGAGGAAGGGAGUAAAGUUAAUACCUUUGCUCAUUGACGUUACCCGCAGAAGAAGCACCGGCUAACUCCGUG